UGGGGAAUUUUGGACAAUGGGCGAAAGCCUGAUCCAGCAAUGCCGCGCGUGUGAAGAAGGCCUUCGGGUUGUAAAGCACUUUUGUCCGGAAAGAAAUCCUUGGCUCUAAUACAGUCGGGGGAUGACGGUACCGGAAGAAUAAGCACCGGCUAACUACGUGCCAGCAGCCGCGGUAAUACGUAGGGUGCAAGCGUUAAUCGGAAUUACUGGGCGUAAAGCGUGCGCAGGCGGUUUGCUAAGACCGAUGUGAAAUCCCCGGGCUCAACCUGGGAACUGCAUUGGUGACUGGCAGGCUAGAGUAUGGCAGAGGGGGGUAGAAUUCCACGUGUAGCAGUGAAAUGCGUAGAGAUGUGGAGGAAUACCGAUGGCGAAGGCAGCCCCCUGGGCCAAUACUGACGCUCAUGCACGAAAGCGUGGGGAGCAAACAGGAUUAGAUACCCUGGUAGUCCACGCCCUAAACGAUGUCAACUAGUUGUUGGGGAUUCAUUUCCUUAGUAACGUAGCUAACGCGUGAAGUUGACCGCCUGGGGAGUACGGUCGCAAGAUUAAAACUUAAAGGAAUUGACGGGGU
rnacentral:rRNA from 1 species